GUGGGGAAUAUUGGACAAUGGGCGAAAGCCUGAUCCAGCCAUGCCGCGUGUGUGAAGAAGGUCUUCGGAUUGUAAAGCACUUUAAGUUGGGAGGAAGGGCAUUAACCUAAUACGUUAGUGUUUUGACGUUACCGACAGAAUAAGCACCGGCUAACUUCGUGCCAGCAGCCGCGGUAAUACGAAGGGUGCAAGCGUUAAUCGGAAUUACUGGGCGUAAAGCGCGCGUAGGUGGUUCGUUAAGUUGGAUGUGAAAGCCCCGGGCUCAACCUGGGAACUGCCUCCAAAACUGCAUGACUAGAGUACGGUAGAGGGUAGUGGAAUUUCCUGUGUAGCGGUGAAAUGCGUAGAUAUAGGAAGGAACACCAGUGGCGAAGGCGACUACCUGGACUGAUACUGACACUGAGGUGCGAAAGCGUGGGGAGCAAACAGGAUUAGAUACCCUUGUAGUCC
rnacentral:rRNA from 1 species